AACGAGAUCUUCGGGUCUAGUGGCGCACGGGUGCGUAACGCGUGGGAAUCUGCCCUUGGGUUCGGAAUAACGUCGGGAAACUGACGCUAAUACCGGAUGAUGACGUAAGUCCAAAGAUUUAUCGCCCAGGGAUGAGCCCCGCGUAGGAUUAGCUAGUUGGUGUGGUAAGAGCACACCAAGGCGACGAUCCUUAGCUGGUCUGAGAGGAUGAUCAGCCACACUGGGACUGAGACACGGCCCAG
rnacentral:rRNA from 1 species